GGCCUGUAGCUCAGAGGAUUAGAGCAUGUGGCUACGAACCACGGUGUCGGGGGUUCGAAUCCCUCCUCACCUAGAACCGGCCA
rnacentral:tRNA from 1 species